rnacentral:rRNA from 1 species
UACGUAGGGUGCAAGCGUUGUCCGGAAUUAUUGGGCGUAAAGAGCUCGUAGGCGGUCUGUCGCGUCUGCUGUGAAAACCUAGGGCUUAACUCUGGGCGUGCAGUGGGUACGGGCAGGCUAGAGUGCGGUAGGGGAGACUGGAAUUCCUGGUGUAGCGGUGAAAUGCGCAGAUAUCGGGAGGAACACCAGUGGCGAAGGCGGCGACCUGGGCCAAUACUGACGCUGAGGAGCGAAAGCGUGGGGGAGCGAACAGG